rnacentral:rRNA from 1 species
AUGUCUUCCUCCAGCGCCACCCCAAGCAAUCUCGGUCAGGUCACGGAGAAGCUCUCCCGGACGAACUACGUCCUGUGGCGAACUCAGGUUAUGCCGCAGCUAAGGGGAGCUGGGCUCUUCGGCUACGUCGACGGAACGAUGCCGGAACCCACCCGCCUCCUCGUCACCAAGGACAAGGACGGCAAGGAGUCGUCGACGCCCAAUCCUCUCCAUCCCAUCUGGGUGAGGGAAGAUCAACAAGUGCUCGGCUACCUCCUCAACAACCUCUCCAAGGAAGUGCUGAUCGCGGUGACCACGGUCACCACCGCGCACGCCCUCUGGGUGGCGCUUGCAGGCAUGUUUUCCUCUCAAUCUUUGAGCCGUGUAAACAAUAUUCGUACUACCUUGAUCAAUGCACAGAAGGGCACCCAAUCGGUUGCUGCAUACUACGCUCAUAUGCGUGGCCUUGCGGAUGAACUCGCCGCGGCUGGCAAGCCCAUCCAGGACGAUGAGCUCAUCUCCUACCUGCUGCAUGGGCUGGACAUGGACUACCAACCUCUCGUCUCCGCCCUCGACGCCCGUGUCACGCCGGUCUCCAUCGACGAGUUGUACUCCAUGCUGAGCAACUUCGAUCAGCGUGUGGCACAGUUUCACAACACCGGCGGUGGCUUCAAGUCUUCGGCCAACGCCGCCACUCGCGGGUGCGGCGGGUACUCCUCGCGCUCUCGCGGUCCUCCCCGACACAAGGGCAAGCAAGGUGGUGGCAGCUCCAGCAACUCCUCUCGCGGCGGACGUCCCAACUUCGCCAACAACAGGGGCCGUUGCGGCGGGGGUGGCAGCGGUGGUGGCUCGGGCAGAUCAUGUCCUGAUGCAGUACGCUGCCAGAUUUGCGGCAAGCCGGGCCACACGGCCAAGGACUGUUGGUAUCGUUUUGAUGAAGACGAUGCCUCCUCUGAUGAAGAUGACAAGGUAGCUGCUGCCGCUGACGGGUCAUAUGGUGUUGAUACCAAUUGGUAUCUUGACAGUGGUGCUACCAACCACCUCACGGGAGAACUUGAGAAGGUGACUCUUCGUGAAAAAUAUCAUGGCAAAGACCAAAUUCACACGGCAAGUGGUGCAGGAUCAGGCCACGAAGAAAGUUCUCUAUCGAGGUAG